UGGCGGCGUGCUUAACACAUGCAAGUCGAACGAAGUGGCGAACGGGUGAGUAACACGUGAGUAACUGCCCUUGACUCUGGGAUAACCUCCGGAAACGGAAGCUAAUACCGGAUAAGGAUGGACUCGCGGCCUAUCAGGUAGUUGGUGAGGUAACGGCUCACCAAGCCUACGACGGGUAGCCGGCCUGAGAGGGGACCGGCCACACUGGGCUGAGACACGGCCCAGACUCCUACGGGAGGCAGCAGUGGGGAAUAUUGCACAAUGGGCGCAAGCCUGAUGCAGCAACGCCGCGUGAGGGAUGACGGCCUUCGGGUUGUAAACCUCUUUUAGUAGGGAAGCGGUACCUGCAGAAAAAGCACCGGCUAACUACGUGCCAGCAGCCGCGGUAAUACGUAGGGUGCGAGCGUUGUCCGGAAUUAUUGGGCGUAAAGAGCUCGUAGGCGGUCUGUCGCGUCUGCUGUGAAAACCCGAGGCUCAACCUCGGGCCUGCAGUGGGUACGGGCAGACUAGAGUGCGGUAGGGGAGAAUGGAAUUCCUGGUGUAGCGGUGGAAUGCGCAGAUAUC
rnacentral:rRNA from 1 species